UACGGAGGGUGCAAGCGUUAUCCGGAUUCACUGGGUUUAAAGGGUGCGUAGGCGGACAGGUAAGUCAGUGGUGAAAUCUCUGGGCUUAACCCAGAAACUGCCGUUGAUACUAUCUGUCUUGAAUAUUGUGGAGGUGAGCGGAAUAUGUCAUGUAGCGGUGAAAUGCUUAGAUAUGACAUAGAACACCAAUUGCGAAGGCAGCUCGCUACACAUAUAUUGACUCUGAGGCACGAAAGCGUGGGGAUCAAACAGG
rnacentral:rRNA from 1 species